rnacentral:rRNA from 1 species
AGGGUCCUACGGGAGGCAGCAGUGAGGAAUAUUGGUCAAUGGCCGGAAGGCUGAACCAGCCAAGUCGCGUGAGGGAAUAAGGCCCUAUGGGUCGUAAACCUCUUUUGUCAGGGAGCAACGCCGGCUACGUGUAGCCGGACUGAGAGUACCUGAAGAAAAAGCAUCGGCUAACUCCGUGCCAGCAGCCGCGGUAAUACGGAGGAUGCGAGCGUUAUCCGGAUUUAUUGGGUUUAAAGGGUGCGUAGGCGGAAUGCCAAGUCAGCGGUAAAAUCGAGGGGCACAACCUCGCGCCGCCGUUGAAACUG